CUUUUUGUGUUUAGAGUAGUGUUUGUAGAACCUUAUGGAUUUAAUUUCUAUUAACACCUAUGGGAUUGUUCCCAAUAAGGGGCUAUUUUAUUAUUAUUUUGAGUUAACUGCCUUAGGUAAAAUCAUCUUUUUUAUGUGGGAAUCAACACAUGUUGGACAACAUAACCUUACCAGCUGAUAGAGUUCUCCACCACCCCAGAAGGACACAUGCAUCAAACGUGUUAUUUCUAGGUAAUUUGGGGAUAUCAUGGACAAUAAACAAAAGAAAUGAAAAUCGCAUCAAAUAUGGGGCAUCUUGGUUUUGUACUUUAUGAGGCUGGUGAGUGCAACUCUGGAAAACACCAGAUGAGCAGGGUGCAUGCAGCUGGUUGAAGAGGCUGAGGGUAAGCAGUUUCGGGCAGAUCAUUUGGGCUUAUCUGACUUCUGCUCUAAGAAGACACUGUUUAAAAUCACAAACCCUUCUGAGGGAAGGUAACUUGACAGAUCAGCCAGCCUUCUCGCACACUCAUGGAAAACGUUGGACGAUAUCCAAGAUCCCAAAUGGGACCACAUUCUACUCUGGCAUAGCAACUUGUCUUCAGAUCCAUCCUCUGGAGAAGGCAAUGAAAGGGUGUUAGCUGAGGAAGUUCCUAAAAUGAAGGGAAAUAAUUUGAUAUGAAGAGUAGUGAUAGUUGGAGCCCUGCACGGAUACAAAAAUGUGGAUCCGCAUCCACCAGAAUCAACAUGCUUCUGACCUGCGAUCUGCUAGCCGUCUUUUAUGUGUAUCCGCACCCGCAGCAGCAAGCCGUCUCACAAGGGCUGGGGUGAGCAGAGAUGAAUGGGAGAGCAGGGUCUCGAGGAGAAGGGGUGGUGACGUUGCACCCCAUAAUGCUUAAUAGAAAUAUGCUUAUAAAUAUAAAUAUGACAUAACUGGAAUAUGCUUUAUGCUACAUAUGCCAUGUUACAUAUCUUUGCAAAGGUUAUGUUCUACCGCAUGUAUUCAUCCUAUUCAUAUGCAUGUAUCAUUUUGAUAUCUAAAGUUAUGAGCAUUGGCUCUAUGCUUGUAUUUAAAGUGUUUGCUGUAGAAAGCACCUGAGGCAGAUUUGAUCAACAUAGUGUGAAGGGGUUAUUCAAGUACAUGGAAGUACUUGGCCAACAAUGAACUUUGAGAGACGCCAAUCCACAUCUGAGCUUUCCUGGGAAUGUGGCUUGGCCUGUAAAGUUCUGAGUCUUCUGAGUCUGUGACUUGCCCAUGUGACUCCAAAACUCCAUCUUGCAGCUGAAUUCUGCAUAAGAGAGAAGAAGGAGUUUCCACCCACAAAAGAGAGUCUAUUUAAGCUCCUGGAAAUCCCUUCAUUUUGUCUUCAGCUGGCUCAAGAGAUAGCCUCUCCACCCCCAAAGGAUACCUGAAAGAAACUGAAACAGAGGACAGUAACCACAGGGAUUGAGUGAUUGCUGGACCCAAAUUAGAAGGAGGCUAGUCAGUAAAAGAAGCUUACUGGAACACCUCUGAGGAUGAGAUUUCAUCUGUAAUCCCUUUCUUGCUGUAUGAGGCUUAGACUUCCGUGUUUUAUUUUGUUUUGCUUGGUAAUUCACUUUCUGUCUGUUAUUACUUGGAACCACUUAAAUCCUACUUUCUGUAUUUAAUAAAAUCACUUUUUAUUUAUUAAUUAA